UCAGAUGUGAAAGCCCCGGGCUCAACCUGGGAACUGCGUUUGAAACUACAAGGCUAGAGUGUAGCAGAGGGGGGUAGAAUUCCACGUGUAGCAGUGAAAUGCGUAGAGAUGUGGAGGAAUACCGAUGGCGAAGGCAGCCCCCUGGGUUAACACUGACGCUCAUGUACGAAAGCGUGGGGAGCAAACAGGAUUAGAUACCCUGGUAGUCCACGCCCUAAACGAUGUCAACUAGUUGUCGGGAGAGGAGACUUUCUUGGUAACGCAGCUAACGCGUAAAGUUGACCGCCUGGGGAGUACGGCCGCAAGGUUAAAACUCAAAGGAAUUGACGGGGGGCCCGCACAAGCGGUGGAUUAUGUGGUUUUAAUUCGAAGCAACGCGCAGAACCUUACCAGCCCUUGACAUGCCUCGGAAGUGGACGAGAGAUCGAUCACGCUCUUCGGAGCCGGGGACACAGGUGCUACAUGGCUGUCGUCAGCUCGUUUCGUGAGAUGUUGGGUUAAGUCCCGCAACGAGCGCAACCAUCGCCCUUAGUUGCCAUCAUUCAGUUGGGCACUCUAGGGGGACUGCCGGUGAUAAGCCGGAGGAAGGUGGGGAUGACGUCAAGUCUUCAUGGCCCUUACGGGCUGGGCUACACACGUGCUACAAUGGCGGUGACAGUGGGCAGCAAGGCAGCAAUGCCAAGCUAAUCUCAAAAAGCCGUCUCAGUUC
rnacentral:rRNA from 1 species